rnacentral:rRNA from 1 species
GAGUUUGAUCUUGGCUCAGAUUGAACGCUGGUGGCAUGCCUUACACAUGCAAGUCGAACGGCAGCAUGAUCUAGCUUGCUAGAUUGAUGGCGAGUGGCGAACGGGUGAGUAAUACAUCGGAACGUGCCCUGUAGUGGGGGAUAACUAGUCGAAAGAUUAGCUAAUACCGCAUACGACCUGAGGGUGAAAGUGGGGGACCGCAAGGCCUCAUGCUAUAGGAGCGGCCGAUGUCUGAUUAGCUAGUUGGUGGGGUAAAGGCCCACCAAGGCGACGAUCAGUAGCUGGUCUGAGAGGACGAUCAGCCACACUGGGACUGAGACACGGCCCAGACUCCUACGGGAGGCAGCAGUGGGGAAUUUUGGACAAUGGGCGAAAGCCUGAUCCAGCAAUGCCGCGUGUGUGAAGAAGGCCUUCGGUUGGUAA